AUCACGCCGCGUGAGUGAUGAAGGUUUUCGGAUCGUAAAACUCUGUUGUUAGGGAAGAACAGUGCCAUAGUAACUGAUGGCACCUUGACGGUACCUAACCAGAAAGCCACGGCUAACUACGUGCCAGCAGCCGCGGUAAUACGUAGGUGGCAAGCGUUGUCCGGAAUUAUUGGGCGUAAAGCGCUCGCAGGCGGUUCUUUAAGUCUGAUGUGAAAUCUUACGGCUCAACCGUAAACGUGCAUUGGAAACUGGGGAACUUGAGUGCAGAAGAGGAGAGUGGAAUUCCACGUGUAGCGGUGAAAUGCGUAGAGAUGUGGAGGAACACCAGUGGCGAAGGCGACUCUCUGGUCUGUAACUGACGCUGAGGAGCGAAAGCGUGGGGAGCGAACAGGAUUAGAUACCCUGGUAGUCCACGCCGUAAACGAUGAGUGCUAGGUGUCAGGGGGUUUCCGCCCCUUAGUGCUGAAGUUAACGCAUUAAGCACUCCGCCUGAGGAGUACGGCCGCAAGGCUGAAAUUCAAAGACUUGACGGGGGCCG
rnacentral:rRNA from 1 species